rnacentral:pre_miRNA from 1 species
GACAUCCAACGGCUGUUUUACCAGAGAAGCUGGGGCCGUGGGUCCCACGGCCCCAGCUUGUCUGGCAAAACAGCCGUUGGACGUC